GCCAGGGUGGUGAAAUUGGUAUAGAUGCUGGUUUCAGGUUCCAGUCCUCCACAGGAUAGGGGUUCGAAUCCUCUCUUUGGCA
rnacentral:tRNA from 1 species